rnacentral:rRNA from 1 species
GACGUAGGGCGCGAGCGUUGUCCGGAUUUAUUGGGCGUAAAGAGCUCGUAGGCGGCUUGUCGCGUCGUUCGUGAAAACCUGCGGCUCAACUGCAGGCUUGCGGUCGAUACGGGCAGGCUGGAGUUCGGUAGGGGAGACUGGAAUUCCUGGCGUAGCGGUGAAAUGCGCAGAUAUCAGGAGGAACACCGGUGGCGAAGGCGGGUCUCUGGGCCGAUACUGACGCUGAGGAGCGAAAGCGUGGGGAGCGAACAGG